CUACGGAGGAUGCGAGCGUUAUCCGGAUUUAUUGGGUUUAAAGGGUGCGUAGGCUGUGCGUUAAGUCAGGGGUGAAAUGCCGUCGCUCAACGACGGAGCUGCCCUUGAUACUGGCGUGCUGGAGUACGGAUGCCGUUGGAGGAAUGAGUGGUGUAGCGGUGAAAUGCUUAGAUAUCACUCAGAACACCGAUUGCGAAGGCAUCUGACGAAUCCGUCACUGACGCUGAGGCACGAAAGCGUGGGGAUAGAACAGGAUUAGAUACCCUGGUAUUCCACGCCGUAAACGAUGAUGACUAACCGUCGGCGAUAGACAGCCGGUGGCCAAGCGAAAGCGAUAAGUCAUCCACCUGGGGAGUACGUCGGCAACGAUGAGACUCAAAGGAAUUGACGGGG
rnacentral:rRNA from 1 species